AUGGUGCCCGGGGCAGGGGGGCUCAAGGGCUCCUUGGUCCUCAUCCCUAAGAAGGCGCUCGACUUCCACGACUUCCAUGGCACCGCCAUGGACGGCGGCACCGACACGGAGCUCUUCGGCGGCGGAGUCACCUGCCAGCUCAUCAGCUCCACCCUUCGCGGCCGGGCUGCAGGCAAGGCGAGCCGCGGGGAGGUGGGCGAGGAGGCGAACCUGGAGCCGUGUCUCCUCCUGAAGAAGAGCCUGCUGAGCGAGGAGAGGUUCGAGGUGACCUUCAACUGGUCCAUGGAGCUGGGCGUGCCGGGCGCCAUCAUCGUCAAGAACAACAGCGACACCGAGUUCUACCUCAAGACCAUCACCCUCCACGACGUGCCCGGCCACGGCGGCGCCGUCGUCUUCGUCGCCAACUCCUGGGUCUACCCGCAGGCCAAGUACAGCUACAACCGCGUCUUCUUCGCCAACGACACGUACCUGCCGCACCAGAUGCCGGCCGCGCUCAAGCCAUACCGCGACGACGAGCUCCGGAACUUGAGGGGCGACGACAAGCAGCAGGAGGGGCCCUACGAGGAACACGACCGCGUCUACCGCUACGACGUCUACAACGACCUCCGCGACGUCCUCGGUGGCUCCGAGGACCUCCCCUACCCGCGCCGCGGCCGAACCGGCCGGAAGCCCUCGCCCAACAAGCCCGACCACGAGAGCCGGGGGGAGACCGUCUACGUGCCACGUGACGAGCAGUUCGGGCACCUCAAGGCUGACGACUUUCGGGACAACACCAUCACGGCGCUGGUGGGCACCAUCAUGCCGAUCGUCUGCACGCUGCUCGACGACACCAAGGGCGAGUUGGACACCUUCGCUGACAUCCUCAAGCUCUACAAGGACGGCAUCGAGGUCGUCGAGGAGGAGGGCAACAUCCCGGCCCAGCUCCAGCUCCAGCUCGUCAAGGACCUCAUCACCCCCAUGGCCCUAGACGACUGCUUAUACAAGCUCAAGCUCCCCAGGCCGCACAUCAUCAACGAGGACGAGAAAGCAUGGAUGACCGAUGAUGAGUUCGCGAGGGAGAUGCUGGCCGGCGUCAACCCCUUGAUGAUCAAACGCCUCACCGAGUUCCCUCCCAAGAGCACUCUGGAUCCUAGCAAGUACGGCGACCACACCAGCACCAUCACCGAGGCGCACAUCGGCGAGCGACUCGAGGGCCUCACCGUGCACCAGGCGCUCACCAGCAACAGGCUCUACAUCGUGGACCAGCACGACAACCUGAUGCCGUUCCUCAUCAACAUCAACAAGCUCGAGGGCAGCUUCGUGUACGCCACCAGGACCCUGCUCUUCCUGCGAGGGAACGGCACGCUCGCGCCGGUCGCCAUCUAGCUCAGCUCGCCCCGGCUCCAGGGCGACCUGACCACCGCGGAGAGCACCGUGUACACGCCUGAGGACACCGGCGUCGAGGGCUGGAUAUGGCAGCUCGCCAAGGCCUACGUCGCCGUGAACGACUACGGCUGGCAUCAGCUCAUCAGCCACUGGCUCAACACGCACGCGGUGAUGGAGCCCUUUGUCAUCGCGACUAACAGGCAGCUCAGCGUGACCCACCCGGUGCACAAGCUCCUGCACCCGCACUACCGCGACACGAUGAACAUUAACGCCAAGGCCCGGGGCUUGCUCAUCAACGCCAACGGCGUCAUCGAGAUGACCGUGUUCCCGGGCAAGCACGCGAUGCCCAUGUCUUCCAUGGUCUACAAGAACUGGAACUUCACCGAACAAGCUCUGCCCGACGAUCUAAUCAAGAGGGGCAUGGCAGUGGAGGACCCAUCGAGCCCGCACAAGGUGCGGCUGCUGAUCGAGGACUACCCGUACGCGGCGGACGGGCUCGCCGUCUGGCAUGCGAUCGAGCAGUGGGUAGCAGACUACCUGAGCAUCUACUACCCCAACGAUAGCGUGCUGCAGGGAGACGUGGAGCUACAAGCAUGGUGGAAGGAGGUGCGGGAGGUCGGACACGGCGACCUCAAGGAUGCGGCGUGGUGGCCCAAGAUGCAGACAGUGGCGGAGCUGAUCAAGGCCUGCGCCACCAUCAUCUGGAUAGGGUCGGCGCUCCACGCGGCCGUCAAUUUCGGGCAGUACGCGUACUCAGGCUACCACCCCAACAAGCCGUCGAUGAGCCGCCGACCGAUGCCGGCGCCGGGCAGCACGGAGUACGCGGAGCUGAGGGACAACCCGGAGCUGGCCUUCAUCCACACCAUCACCAGCCUGUUCCAGGCCCUGGUGGGCAUCUCGCUGAUGGAGAUCCUCUCCAAGCACUCCUCCGACGAGGUGUACCUGGGUCAGCGUGACACGCCGGCGUGGACAUCAGACGCCAAGGCACUCGAGGCGUUCAAGCGGUUCGGGGCCAGACUGGUGGGCAUUGAAAAGCAGGUGGACGACAGGAACAAAGAUUCGCGGCUGAAGAACCGCAUCGGGCCGGCCAAAUUCCCAUACAUGCUGCUCUUCCCCAACACCUCCGACCACACGGGCGAGGCCGUGGGGCUCUCGGCCAAGGGCAUCCCAAACAGCAUCUCCAUCUGA
rnacentral:rRNA from 1 species